rnacentral:SRP_RNA from 1 species
GCUGGGCAUGGUGGUGUGUACCUGUAGUCUCAGCUACUUGGGAGACUGAGGUGGGAGGAUCACUUGAGCCCAGGAGACAGGGCUGCAGUGAGCUAUGAUUGUGCCACUGUACUCCAGCCUGGGCAACAGAGUGAGACCCCAUCUCAA